AUUGAACGCUGGCGGAAUGCUUUACACAUGCAAGUCGAACGGCAGCACGGACUUCGGUCUGGUGGCGAGUGGCGAACGGGUGAGUAAUGUAUCGGAACGUGCCCAGUCGCGGGGGAUAACGUAGUGAAAAUUACGCUAAUACCGCAUACGAUCUAUGGAUGAAAGCGGGGGAUCGCAAGGCCUGGCGCGAGUGGAGCGGCCGAUAUCAAAUUAGGUAGUUGGUGGGGGAAAGGCCCACCAAGCCAACGAUCUGUAGCUGGUAUGAGAGGACGACGAGCCACACUGGAACAGAGACACGGGCCAGACUCCUACGGGAGGCAGCAGUGGGGAAUUUUGGACAAUGGGCGAAAGCCUGAUCCAGCCAUGCCGCGUGCAGGAUGAAGGCCUUCGGGUUGUAAACUGCUUUUGUACAGAACGAAAAGGUUUCUACUAAUACUAGGAGCUCAUGACGGUACUGUAAGAAUAAGCACCGGCUAACUACGUGCCAGCAGCCGCAGUAA
rnacentral:rRNA from 1 species